GACAGAGGGUGCAAACGUUGUUCGGAAUUACUGGGCGUAAAGCGCGUGUAGGCGGUCGUGCAAGUCGGGUGUGAAAGCCCUGGGCUCAACCCAGGAAGUGCAUUCGAUACUGCUCGACUGGAGUCCCGGAGAGGAUGGUGGAACUCUCGGUGUAGAGGUGAAAUUCGUAGAUAUCGAGAAGAACACCGGUGGCGAAGGCGGCCAUCUGGACGGUGACUGACGCUGAGACGCGAAAGCGUGGGGAGCAAACAGG
rnacentral:rRNA from 1 species